UACGGAAUGUGCAAACGUUAUUCGGAAUCACUGGGCUUAAAGAGUCCGUAGGCGGCAUGUUAGGUGAGGUGUGAAAUCCCCCGGCUCAACCGAGGAAUUGCGCUUCAAACCGGCGUGCUCGAGGAAGAUAGAGGUGGGCGGAACUGAUGGUGGAGCGGUGAAAUGCGUUGAUAUCAUCAGGAACACCGGAGGCGAAAGCGGCCCACUGGGUCUUUUCUGACGCUGAGGGACGAAAGCUAGGGGAGCGAAGCGGGG
rnacentral:rRNA from 1 species